CAUGCAAGUCGAACGAAGCAAUUAAGAUGAAGUUUUCGGAUGGAAUCUUGAUUGACUGAGUGGCGGACGGGUGAGUAACGCGUGGAUAACCUGCCUCACACUGGGGGAUAACAGUUAGAAAUGACUGCUAAUACCGCAUAAGCGCACAGUGCCGCAUGGCAGUGUGUGAAAAACUCCGGUGGUGUGAGAUGGAUCCGCGUCUGAUUAGCCAGUUGGCGGGGUAACGGCCCACCAAAGCGACGAUCAGUAGCCGACCUGAGAGGGUGACCGGCCACAUUGGGACUGAGACACGGCCCAAACUCCUACGGGAGGCAGCAGUGGGGAAUAUUGCACAAUGGGCGAAAGCCUGAUGCAGCGACGCCGCGUGAGUGAAGAAGUAUUUCGGUAUGUAAAGCUCUAUCAGCAGGGAAGAAAAUGACGGUACCUGACUAAGAAGCCCCGGCUAACUACGUGCCGGCAGCCGCGGUAAUACGUAGGGGGCAAGCGUUAUCCGGAUUUACUGGGUGUAAAGGGAGCGUAGACGGCGAAGCAAGUCUGAAGUGAAAACCCAGGGCUCAACCCUGGGACUGCUUUGGAAACUGUUUUGCUAGAGUGUCGGAGAGGUAAGUGGAAUUCCUAGUGUAGCGGUGAAAUGCGUAGAUAUUAGGAGGAACACCAGCGGCG
rnacentral:rRNA from 1 species